rnacentral:rRNA from 1 species
GCUUACGGCCAUACCACCCUGAGCAUGCCCGAUCUCGUCUGAUCUCGGAAGCUAAGCAGAGUCGGGCUUGGUUAGUACUUGGAUGGGAGACCGCCUGGGAAUACCAGGUGCUGUAAGCU